rnacentral:rRNA from 1 species
UUAAGUUAAUAAGGGCGCACGGUGGAUGCCUUGGCACUAGAAGCCGAUGAAGGACGUGACUAACGACGAAAUGCUUUGGGGAGCUGUAAGUGAGCAAUGAUCCAGAGAUGUCCGAAUGGGGGAACCCGGCAGGUAAUGCCUGUCACUCAUUACUGUUAAGGUAAUGUAGAGGAAGACGCAGUGAACUGAAACAUCUAAGUAGCUGCAGGAAGAGAAAGCAAAAGCGAUUGCCUUAGUAGCGGCGAGCGAAACGGCAAGAGGGCAAACCGAAGAGUUUACUCUUCGGGGUUGUAGGACUGCAACGUGGACUUAAAGAUUAUAGAAGAACUACCUGGGAAGGUAGGCCAAAGAGAGUAAUAGCCUCGUAUUCGAAAUAGUCUUUAUACCUAGCAGUAUCCUGAGUACGGCGAGACACGAGAAAUCUCGUCGGAAUCUGGGAGGACCAUCUCCCAACCCUAAAUACUCUCUAGUGACCGAUAGUGAACCAGUACCGUGAGGGAAAGGUGAAAAGCACCCCGGGAGGGGAGUGAAAUAGAACCUGAAACCGUGUGCCUACAACAAGUUCGAGCCCGUUAAUGGGUGAGAGCGUGCCUUUUGUAGAAUGAACCGGCGAGUUACGAUAUGAUGCGAGGUUAAGUUGAAGAGACGGAGCCGUAGGGAAACCGAGUCUUAAUAGGGCGCAUUAGUAUCAUGUCGUAGACCCGAAACCAUGUGACCUACCCAUGAGCAGGUUGAAGGUGUGGUAAGACGCACUGGAGGACCGAACCAGGGCACGUUGAAAAGUGCUUGGAUGACUUGUGGGUAGCGGAGAAAUUCCAAACGAACUUGGAGAUAGCUGGUUCUCUCCGAAAUAGCUUUAGGGCUAGCGUCGAUGUUAAGUCUCUUGGAGGUAGAGCACUGUUUGGGUGAGGGGUCCAUCCCGGAUUACCAAUCUCAGAUAAACUCCGAAUGCCAACGAGAUAUAAUCGGCAGUCAGACUGCGAGUGCUAAGAUCCGUAGUCGAAAGGGAAACAGCCCAGACCACCAGCUAAGGUCCCAAAAUAUAUGUUAAGUGGAAAAGGAUGUGGGGUUGCACAGACAACUAGGAUGUUAGCUUGGAAGCAGCUAUUCAUUCAAAGAGUGCGUAAUAGCUCACUAGUCGAGUGACCCUGCGCCGAAAAUGUACCGGGGCUAAAACAUAUUACCGAAGCUGUGGAUACCUUUAUAGGUAUGGUAGGAGAGCGUUCUAUGUGCGAAGAAGGUGUACCGUGAGGAGUGCUGGAGCGCAUAGAAGUGAGAAUGCCGGUAUGAGUAGCGAAAGACAGGUGAGAAUCCUGUCCACCGUAAGACUAAGGUUUCCAGGGGAAGGCUCGUCCGCCCUGGGUUAGUCGGGACCUAAGGAGAGACCGAAAGGUGUAUCCGAUGGACAACAGGUUGAUAUUCCUGUACUAGAGUAUAUAGUGAUGGAGGGACGCAGUAGGCUAACUAAACCAGACGAUUGGAAGUGUCUGGCCAAGCAGUGAGGUGUGAUAUGAGUCAAAUGCUUAUAUCUAUAACAUUGAGCUGUGAUGGGGAGCGAAGUUUAGUAGCGAAGUUAGUGAUGUCACACUGCCGAGAAAAGCUUCUAGCGUUAAUUAUACUCUACCCGUACCGCAAACCGACACAGGUAGUCGAGGCGAGUAGCCUCAGGUGAGCGAGAGAACUCUCGUUAAGGAACUCGGCAAAAUGGCCCCGUAACUUCGGGAGAAGGGGCGCUGACUUAUGGUCAGCCGCAGUGAAUAGGCCCAAGCAACUGUUUAUCAAAAACACAGCUCUCUGCUAAAUCGUAAGAUGAUGUAUAGGGGGUGACGCCUGCCCGGUGCUGGAAGGUUAAGAGGAGUGCUUAGCGUAAGCGAAGGUAUGAAUUGAAGCCCCAGUAAACGGCGGCCGUAACUAUAACGGUCCUAAGGUAGCGAAAUUCCUUGUCGGGUAAGUUCC